GAAGAAUCCAGAGAUGGAUUUGUGCCUUCGGGAACCGUGAGACAGGUGCUGCAUGGCUGUCGUCAGCUCGUGUUGUGAAAUGUUGGGUUAAGUCCCGCAACGAGCGCAACCCUUAUCCUUUGUUGCCAGCGAUUAGGUCGGGAACUCAAAGGAGACUGCCAGUGAUAAACUGGAGGAAGGUGGGGAUGACGUCAAGUCAUCAUGGCCCUUACGACCAGGGCUACACACGUGCUACAAUGGCGCAUACAAAGAGAAGCGACCUCGCGAGAGCAAGCGGACCUCAUAAAGUGCGUCGUAGUCCGGAUUGGAGUCUGCAACUCGACUCCAUGAAGUCGGAAUCGCUAGUAAUCGUGGAUCAGAAUGCCACGGUGAAUACGUUCCCGGGCCUUGUACACACCGCCCGUCACACCAUGGGAGUGGGUUGCAAAAGAAGUAGGUAGCUUAACCUUCGGGAGGGCGCUUACCACUUUGUGAUUCAUGACUGGGGUGAAGUCGUAACAAGGUAACCGUAGGGGAACCUGC
rnacentral:rRNA from 1 species